UGAGUACGAGGAGAUACGUCACCGAAGUGGCUGAUGUCAUGCUUCCAAGAAAAGCUCUAAACACGUUAAUCUGAAUUUGCCCGUACUCUAAACCGACACAGGUGGAUGGUUGAGAAUACCAAGGGGCGCGAGAUAACUCUCUCUAAGGAACUCGGCAAAAUUGCCCCGUAACUUCGGAAGAAGGGGUGCCCCCGCGAGGGGGUCGCAGUGAAGAGAUCCAGGCGACUGUUUACCAAAAACACAGGUCUCCGCUAAGUCAUAAGACGAUGUAUGGGGGCUGACGCCUGCCCAGUGCCGGAAGGUUAAAGAAGUUGGUUAGCGAAAGCGAAGCUGGCGGCUGAAGCCCCGGUGAACGGCGGCCGUAACUAUAACGGUCCUAAGGUAGCGAAAUUCCUUGUCGGGUAAGUUCCGACCCGCACGAAAGGCGCAACGAUCUGGGUGCUGUCUCGGAGAGAGGCUCGGCGAAAUAGGAUUGUCUGUGAAGAUACGGACUACCUGCACCCGGACAGAAAGACCCUAUGAAGCUUUACUGUAGCUUGGAAUUGGGUUCGGGCUUUGUUUGCGCAGGAUAGGUGGGAGGCUUUGAGAUACCCCUUGUGGGGGGUAUGGAGCCAACGGUGAGAUACCACUCUGACGAAGCUAGAAUUCUAACCUUAUGCCGUUAUCCGGCUAAGGAACAGUUUCAGGUGGGCAGUUUGACAGGGGCGGUCGCCUCCUAAAAGGUAACGGAGGCGCGCAAAGGUUCCCUCAGGCUGGUCGGAAAUCAGCCGUAGAGUGCAAAAGCAUAAGGGAGCUUGACUGCGAGACCUACAAGUCAAGCAGGGACGAAAGUCGGCUUUAGUGAUCCGACGGCUCAGCGUGGAAUGGCCGUCGCUCAACGGAUAAAAGUUACUCUAGGAUAACAGGCUGAUCUCCCCCAAGAGUUCACAUCGACGGGGAGGUUUGGCACCUCGAUGUCGGCUCAUCGCAACCUGGGGCGGUAGUACGUCCCAAGGGUUGGGCUGUUCGCCCAUUAAAGCGGUACGUGAGCUGGGUUCAGAGCGUCGUGAGACAGUUCGGUCCAUAUCCGGUGCAGGCGUAAGAGCAUUGAGAGGAUUCCUCCUUAGUACGAGAGGACCGGGAGGAACGCACCGCUGGUGUACCUGUUAUCGUGCCAACGGUAAACGCAGGGUAGCCAAGUGCGGAGUGGAUAACCGCUGAAAGCAUCUAAGUGGGAAGUCCACCUCAAGAUGAGUGCUCUCAUGGGUUAACCCAGUAAGGUCACGUGUAGAAUACGCGUUGAUAGGCUGUAAGUGGAAGUUCAGUAAUGAAUGAAGCUGAGCAGUACUAAUAGACCGAGGGCUC
rnacentral:rRNA from 1 species